GUUCCUAUAGCUCAGCUGGAUAGAGCGUUGGCUUGCGGAGCCAAAGGUCGGAGGUUCAAAUCCUCCUAGGGACA
rnacentral:tRNA from 1 species